rnacentral:rRNA from 1 species
CAGGUCACUCCUACGGGAGGCAGCAGUGGGGAAUCUUGCACAAUGGGGGAAACCCUGAUGCAGCGACGCCGCGUGAGCGAUGAAGCCCUUCGGGGUGUAAAGCUCUUUCGGCAGGGACGAUAAUGACGGUACCUGCAGAAGCAGCUGCGGCUAACUACGUGCCAGCAGCCGCGGUAAUACGUAGGCAGCGAGCGUUGUUCGGAGUUACUGGGCGUAAAGGGUGUGUAGGCGGCUUUUUAAGUUUGGUGUGAAAUCUCCCGGCUCAACCGGGAGGGUGCGCCGAAUACUGAAGGGCUAGAGUGCGGGAGAGGAGAGUGGAAUUCCUGGUGUAGCGGUGAAAUGCGUAGAUAUCAGGAGGAACACCGGUGGUGUAGACGGCUCUCUGGACCGUAACUGACGCUGAGACACGAAAGCGUGGGUAGCAAACAGGAUUAGAUACCCUGGUAGUCCACGCCCUAAACGAUGCAUAUUUGGUGUGGGUCAUUCAGUUGAUCCGUGCCGGAGCUAACGCGUUAAAUAUGCCGCCUGGGGAGUACAGUCGCAAGGCUGAAACUUAAAGGAAUUGACG